UAGGUGUACUGUUUUGAGGCUGAGUUUAGUCUGUAAGAUUCAGCUCGACAGUUUUUUUUUAAACCUUUAUUCGGUGAUUAGAGUGUGUUUCAAUGUUCGUUUUGGUUUCAUUUAUAUGAGUGUUUUUCUUUUUUUUUUCAUUUCCUACGCUGUCCGCCCAUUACAAAAGCAAGAUUAUCAGCGUAUUUUCUUGUGGCUCUCAGCAGCGGGAGGUUUUCAACGUGUGAUCUUCACAAAAGCGACGGUGUCGUACCGUUUACGUUGGGCCUUCAGCAUCUCAGAAGACGUUACCUCGCCGGGAGAAGGACAACAACCCGUGUGGGUUCCCUCCCAGCAACUGAGAUUGCAUUAUAACUCCAAGGAUGGUAGAACUCUCAGAAACAAAAGGCAAAGAACCGUCAGAAAGCAAAGAGCAAGGUUUGUCACCUGACACAUAAACUCCAUGACCUCGACAUUACAACAAAAUAUCGCCGUGUGACCUACAACACCAGUCAUUCUACUCUACCAACAUGGGGCCAGAUAAAAGUCUUAUCACAUCAAACAGAGAAAUUACUACAAGAAGAAGGAAUUCCAAAAAUGACGGGUAAUAUAAUUCUGGCUGCCUUUAUGGUGGUCAGUGCAGUGGUGAGUAUACCAGAGGUUGGGGCAACUCAAAAUUAUACCUACUGGGCAUAUGUUCCUUUUCCCUCUUUAAUUCAGUCUGUCUCCUGGAUAGACUCCUCAGUGGAAGUUUACACCAAUAAUAGUGCAUUCACACCGGUCCCCGAUGAUGACAGGUUUCCAGCCUAACCAGAAGAAGAAGUCUGCAGAUGUCUCCAAAGAGUCCGAGGACAAGUCCAAAAUCAACGACAAGCAAUGAUGGCAGUGACGAUCCUAGUCAAUAAAAAGGGGGAAGAUGUGGGUGGAAAAACCAGCCAUACAGAGACAGGAGCUGAAGGGACACGGUGAGAAGUGACCAGAAGUCAAGAGUGUGAGCCCUCUGUCAUGCAUGGACAGGGUUACUAGAUGGCUCCUUGGUCUAGCGGUAACGCCAGUGCCUGGGAAGGCACCCAUUACUUAGUGGACCGGGAAAGGGAAUCUCCCUUUCCCCUGGGGAGAGAAGACUCUGCUCCACUACCUCUUGUGCAAGGCCUGACAUGAAUCAGGCCCGCCCACAGCCAUCUGAAGGCCUAAACGUCUCCCUGUGAUGCUAUGCUUCAGCGGUCACACUCCUGGUGUACUUUCAUGUUCUGCUCUGCGCACCUGGCCCCGCAUUCUAGAUAGCAGUAGCAGAAUUAGUGAAAAUACUAAAGUCUUUGAUCUUUCCAAGAAAUACAUAGAAGAAAUAAUGAUGUAAGCUGUCCCCUCUCUCUCUCUCCACCUUGGUUACCAAAUAGGGAAGGGCCCCCUGUCCCGUGGACAUGUGACUCGCGUGACCUUACCUAUCAUUGGAGAUGACUCACACUACUUACCCUGCCACCUUGCCUUGUAUACAAUAAAUAACAGUGCAGCCAGGCAUUCGAGGCCACUACCAGUCUCCGCAUCUUGGUGGUAGUGGUUCCCCGGGCCCAGCUGUCUUUUCUUCUCUC